rnacentral:rRNA from 1 species
CCUACGGGUGGCUGCAGUGGGGAAUAUUGGGCAAUGGGCGCAAGCCUGACCCAGCAACGCCGCGUGAAGGAAGAAGGCCCUCGGGUUGUAAACUUCUUUUAUCAGGGACGAAGCAAGUGACGGUACCUGAUGAAUAAGCCACGGCUAACUACGUGCCAGCAGCCGCGGUAAUACGUAGGUGGCAAGCGUUAUCCGGAUUUACUGGGUGUAAAGGGCGUGUAGGCGGGAUAGCAAGUCAGAUGUGAAAACCAUGGGCUCAACCUGUGGCGUGCAUUUGAAACUGUUUUUCUUGAGUGCUGGAGAGGCAGACGGAAUUCCUAGUGUAGCGGUGAAAUGCGUAGAUAUUAGGAGGAACACCAGUGGCGAAGGCGGCUUACUGGACUGUAACUGACGUUGAGGCUCGAAAGCGUGGGGAGCAAACAGGAUUAGAUACCCGGGUAGUC